rnacentral:rRNA from 1 species
CGUAAGCAACCUGCCUAUCAGAGGGGAAUAACAGUGAGAAAUCAUUGCUAAUACCGCAUAAGCUAGUAGUAUCGCAUGAUAUAGCUAGAAAAGGAGCAAUCCGCUGAUAGAUGGGCUUGCGUCUGAUUAGCUAGUUGGUGGGGUAACGGCCUACCAAGGCGACGAUCAGUAGCCGGACUGAGAGGUUGAACGGCCACAUUGGGACUGAGAUACGGCCCAGACUCCUACGGAAGGCAGCAG